UCUUGAGCUAGUUCGUUUUUGUCAAAAUUGUUUGUGCUUGAACAGAAAUUCAGUCCAUGACCUAAGAAAGAGAUAUCAUCUGGAACUGCUACACUUGUCCCUUGAAUUGCUAGAUAUAGCAGUCACAUAUCCAUCGCAUCAUACCCGACCAUAUUGAAAGGAACAGAUGAGACAAUGAGGUGUGAAAUACAUUAUUCUUGGAUGGCUAUGGUUAGAAAGCCAUUCACCAGAGUUCAGUUCGAUCAGGGUUUAACAGCAACAACAACAACAGCAAAGAUUCUAUAUGUGACUGUUUAAUCAGGCCAAAGAAGCCUUGGAACUGUCUGAAUUUCAAAGAGGCCGUAUUGUGGGUCAUUCUCAAGGUGGAUAUAGUCAGCGUAAAAUCGCAGAAAACCUUGUGAUCCCGCUUUCUACAGUGAUUGUGCAAUUCACAAGAGAGAGGAAGAAGUCCACAUCACCUUGUCCAGAUCAACCAGGGCCCUCUAAAAGGACCCUUCUCUUUGCUAAGAGAAGUGUGGAGGAUAAUCCUCGUUGCAAGACCUUUGACAUAGCAGAGCAAGUUGAUGUCAGUCCCAGAACAGCUGUCAGGUAUCUCCACAAACUUUGUUACUAUGGCAGAGCAGGAAGAAGGAAGCCAUAUCUUUGACUAGCCAAUAUAAAGCAGAGAAAAGAUUUGGCCAGUGAGAUGGUAGAGAGGCCAUUAGCAUUUUGGGACACUAUCAUAUUCUCUAAUGAGUCCAGAUUUGCUAUAUUUCCCUAACAGUGUGCUAUAUUUCCCUAACAGUGAAGACUCUGUGAUCAAGAAUUUGAUGUGAAAAGAUUGCAACCAGCAAUGAAACACAGCAGCUAUUCUGUGAUGGUCUGGGGGAACAAUUUGGAGCAAUGGUUGAUCAGAGCUGGUGGAGUGUAAGGAAAAGAUAAACUCAAAUAAAUAUGUGUCCAUAUUGCAGAAAGGACUCCUUCAAAACUUCUCCAGAGAUGAAAUGAUUAAGGAAGACUCUAUGGAAGAUGGGAUUCCUUAUCACACGAUUAAAAUGACCGAAGAUUUGUUGGAAAAGAAUGGCAUUAGAAAGCUUCCAUAGCCAAGCCAGUCACCCUGGGGCAUAAUGGACAGGACAUUUCAUAAACAGAACAAGAAAGCAUCUUUAAAGCCAGAUCUUUUGAGAUUAUUGCAUGAAACUUAGCAAGAAAUUCUGCAAGAGAAUAUUCACCAUCUGAUCAUGCCUAAUAGGGCCCUUGAAUUGAAAAAAUGCAAAGAUCAUGCCUUCUAAAUAUUAAAUGGUCACAUUAUAACA